rnacentral:rRNA from 1 species
AAUCCCAAAAAGUGCGUCGUAGUCCGGAUUGGAGUCUGCAACUCGACUCCAUGAAGUCGGAAUCGCUAGUAAUCGUGGAUCAGAAUGCCACGGUGAAUACGUUCCCGGGCCUUGUACACACCGCCCGUCACACCAUGGGAGUGGGCUGCAAAAGAAGUAGGUAGUUUAACCUUCGGGGGGACGCUUACCACUUUGUGGUUCAUGACUGGGGUGAAGUCGUAACAAGGUAGCGCUAGGGGAACCUGGCGCUGGAUCACCUCCUUAAACGAUGAU